rnacentral:rRNA from 1 species
AGAACGAACGCUGGCGGCAUGCCUAAUACAUGCAAGUCGAACGAACACUUCGGUGUUAGUGGCGCACGGGUGCGUAACGCGUGGGAAUCUGCCCUUGGGUUCGGAAUAACAGUUGGAAACGACUGCUAAUACCGGAUGAUAUCGAAAGAUCAAAGAUUUAUCGCCCAGGGAUGAGCCCGCGUAGGAUUAGCUAGUUGGUGAGGUAAAGGCUCACCAAGGCGACGAUCCUUAGCUGGUCUGAGAGGAUGAUCAGCCACACUGGGACUGAGACACGGCCCAGACUCC